rnacentral:rRNA from 1 species
CAGCAGCCGCGGGAAUACGAAGGGGGCUAGCGUUAUCCGGAAUUACUGGGUGUAAAGGGAGCGUAGACGGUUAAACAAGUCUGAAGUGAAAUGCCGGGGCUCAACCCCGGAGCUGCUUUGGGAACUGUAGAACUGGAGUGUCGGAGGGGUAAGCGGAAUUCCCAGUGUAGCGGUGAAAUGCGUAGAUAUUGGGAGGAACACCGGCGGCGAAGGCGGCUUACUGGACGACAACUGACGUUGAGGCUCGAAGGCGUGGGUAGCAAACAGGAUUAGAUACCCGGGUAGUCCCUGUCUCUUAUAC